rnacentral:rRNA from 1 species
UACGUAGGGUGCGAGCGUUAAUCGGAAUUACUGGGCGUAAAGCGUGCGCAGGCGGUUCGUUAAGUCAGAUGUGAAAGCCCCGGGCUCAACCUGGGAACUGCAUUUGAAACUGGCGGGCUUGAGUAUGGCAGAGGGGGGGUGGAAUUCCGCGUGUAGCAGUGAAAUGCGUAGAGAUGCGGAGGAACACCGAUAGCGAAGGCAGCUUACUAAGCUCUAACUGACACUGAUGCACGAAAAGUGUGGGGAUCAAACAGG